GGGGGUGAAUUUUACUAGUAUUGGGGUGGUGGGAGUUUCUUAUUUUUGUUUAUUGUUU
rnacentral:tRNA from 1 species